AUAUUAAUAAGCGGAGGAAAAGAAACUAACAAGGAUUCCCUUAGUAACGGCGAGUGAAGUGGGAGGAGCUCAAAAUGAAAAUUAGUUUGCUUAGCGGUAAACUGAGUUGUAGCCUAGAGAUGUUAUGUCAGCGUGCGGCCUGGGUACAAAUCCUUUGGAAGAGGCGGU
rnacentral:rRNA from 1 species